rnacentral:rRNA from 1 species
UACGUAGGGUGCGGGCGUUGUCCGGAAUUAUUGGGCGUAAAGAGCUCGUAGGCGGUGUGUCACGUCGGCCGUGAAAACCUGCAGCUUAACUGUGGGCGUGCGGUCGAUACGGGCAUCACUGGAGUUCGGCAGGGGAGACUGGAAUUCCUGGUGUAGCGGUGAAAUGCGCAGAUAUCAGGAGGAACACCGGUGGCGAAGGCGGGUCUCUGGGCCGAUACUGACGCUGAGGAGCGAAAGCGUGGGGAGCAAACAGG